rnacentral:rRNA from 1 species
AUUGCCUUAGUAACGGCGAGUGAAGCGGCAACAGCUCAAAUUUGAAAUCUGGCGUCUUUGGCGUCCGAGUUGUAAUUUGCAGAGGAUGCUUCGGCGUUGGCGCCGCCCAAAGUUCCUUGGAACGGGACGUCGCAGAGGGUGAGAGCCCCGUGUUCGGGCGGAUGCCUUCGCCGUGUGAAGCUCCUUCGACGAGUCGAGUUGUUUGGGAAUGCAGCUCAAAACGGGAGGUAAAUUUCUUCCAAAGCUAAAUACCGGCCGGAGACCGAUAGUGCACAAGUAGAGUGAUCGAAAGAUGAAAAGCACUUUGGAAAGAGAGUCAAACAGCGCGUGAAAUUGUUAAAAGGGAAGCGCUUGCGGUCAGAACUUGGCCGCCGUUGCUCGGGGAGGUCUUGCGCCUCUCUCGCUCUUCGGCGGCUGGGCCAGCAUCGGUUCGGGCGGCUCGAGAAAGGUCGCGGGAAUGUAGCUCCCUCCGGGGAGUGUUAUAGCCCGCGGCGCAAUAGGGCCCGCCUGGACCGAGGUCUGCGCAUUUGCUCGGAUGCUGGCGUAAUGGCCCCAAGCGGCCCGUCUUGAAACACGGACCAAGGAGUCUAACAUUCGUGCGAGUGUUCGGGUGUCAAACCCGUGCGCGCAAUGAAAGUGAACGUAGGUGGGAACCCCUCGUGGGCGCACCAUCGACCGAUCCUGAUGUCUUCGGAUGGAUUUGAGUAUGAGCACGUAUGUUGGGACCCGAAAGAUGGUGAACUAUGCCUAAGCAGGGCGAAGCCAGAGGAAACUCUGGUGGAGGCUCGCAGCGGUUCUGACGUGCAAAUCGAUCGUCAAAUUUGGGUAUAGGGGCGAAAGACUAAU